rnacentral:rRNA from 1 species
AUGGCUCAGAACGAACGCUGGCGGCGUGCUUAACACAUGCAAGUCGAACGCGAAAGGGACUUCGGUCCUGAGUAAAGUGGCGCACGGGUGAGUAACGCGUAGAUAACCUGUCUUCAUGUCUGGAAUAAUACGCCGAAAGGGGUACUAAUACCGGAUAUUCUUGCUUUUCAUAAGUUAUGCAAGCAAAGGUGGCCUCUGCAUAUGCUACUGCAUGAAGAGGGGUCUGCGUACCAUUAGCUAGUAGGUGGGGUAAUGGCCUACCUAGGCGACGAUGGUUAGCGGGUCUGAGAGGAUGAUCCGCCACACUGGCACUGGAACACGGGCCAGACUCCUACGGGAGGCAGCAGUGAGGAAUAUUGCGCAAUGGGGGAAACCCUGACGCAGCGACGCCGCGUGAAGUGAGGAAGGCCUUCGGGUCGUAAAGCUCUGUCAAGAGGAAAGAAGUGUACAAUGGCUAAUACCUGUUGUAUUUGACGGUACCUCUAAAGGAAGCACCGGCUAACUCCGUGCCAGCCGCCGC